UCUGGUUGAUCCUGCCAGUAGUCAUAUGCUUGUCUCAAAGAUUAAGCCAUGCAUGUCUAAGUAUAAGCAAUUUAUACAGUUGAAACUGCGAAUGGCUCAUUAAAUCAGUUAUCGUUUAUUUUGAUAGUUCCUUUACUACAUGGUAUAACUGUGGUAAUUCUAGAGCUAAUACAUGCUUAAAAUCCCGACCUUUUGGAAGGGAUGUAUUUAUUAGAUAAAAAAAUCAAUGUCUUCGGACUCUUUGAUGAUUCAUAAUAACUUUUCGAAUCGCAUGGCCUUGUGCCGGCGAUGGUUCAUUCAAAGUUUCUGCCCUAUCAACUUUCGAUGGUAGGAUAGUGGUCCUACCAUGGUUUCAACGGGUAACGGGGAAUAAGGGUUCGAUUCCGGAGAGGGAGCCUGAGAAACGGCUACCACAUCCAAGGAAGGCAGCAGGCGCGCAAAUUACCCAAUCCUAAUACAGGGAGGUAGUGACAAUAAAUAACGAUACAGGGCCCUUUCGGGUCUUGUAAUUGGAAUGAGUACAAUGUAAAUACCUUAACGAGGAACAAUUGGAGGGCAAGUCUGGUGCCAGCAGCCGCGGUAAUUCCAGCUCCAAUAGCGUAUAUUAAAGUUGUUGCAGUUAAAAAGCUCGUAGUUGAACUUUGGGCCUGGUUGGCCGGUCUGGCUUUUUGCCACGUACUGGAAUGCAACCGGGCCUUUCCUUCUGGCUAACCUUAGGCUCCUUGUGGGUCUUUGGCGAACCAGGACUUUUACUUUGAAAAAAUUAGAGUGUUCAAAGCAGGCGUAUUGCUCGAAUAUAUUAGCAUGGAAUAAUGGAAUAGGACGUUUGGUUCUAUUUUGUUGGUUUCUAGGACCAUCGUAAUGAUUAAUAGGGACGGUCGGGGGCAUCAGUAUUCAAUUGUCAGAGGUGAAAUUCUUGGAUUUAUUGAAGACUAACUACUGCGAAAGCAUUU
rnacentral:rRNA from 1 species